UACGGGGGGGGCAAGCGUUGUUCGGAAUUACUGGGCGUAAAGGGCGCGUAGGCGGCCUGCUAAGUCGAACGUGAAAUCCCUGGGCUCAACCCAGGAACUGCGUCCGAUACUGGUUGGCUUGAAUCCGGGAGAGGGAUGUGGAAUUCCAGGUGUAGCGGUGAAAUGCGUAGAUAUCUGGAGGAAUACCGGUGGCGAAGGCGGCAUCCUGGACCGGCAUUGACGCUGAGGAGCGAAAGCCAGGGGAGCAAACGGG
rnacentral:rRNA from 1 species